CCGGCCCCCAUCCCGCUGCCAUCACGCCUCCCGGCCCCCGCACCCUUGUCUGUGUCCCACAGCACAGGACCUGUCAGCGAGCGUCUGGCGCCUUCCUCCCUCCCCUGCAGAGACCCGCCAGGCCCCUCCAACAGGUGCUUUCUAAACUGCAAUUUCCUCAUCUACAAAAGGACAAUCACAACAACGGAACCCAGGGGACAGGACUGCAUCAACUACAACCAGACGGCGUAGACGGCAGCACACGGCCCUCGGCAAAUCAGAGGUGCUCAGUGACCACAGCCACCAUGACAGCAGGGCGGGGCGGGGGGCAAGGAAGCAGCGCUGGGAGACUUGGAGACACCCCAAAAAACGCCUUCCUCAGAAACACUGCUGUGCAAGAACCUGCAAAUCCCUAAGGCGUCUGUGUCCGAUGGCCCCGGCCCCAUGCUCUGAGGUCGCGCAGGUGUCCAAGGCCAGGAGGGGCACCGAGGAGACGAAGAAGAAACAGCACAGCAGCUGGGGAGGUUUUCUGUGCCUGUUUUCGGUGAGCACAGAACAACUGAAGGAAGCGCGGGACAGACACAAGGGCGGGCCUCGGUGCCACGGCUGGCCUUGGGCAGAGGGAAAUGCUUUGUGUACUUUCUCUGGGAAGCAGCAGCCCCAGCGCGGCCUCGGCGUCCUCUGCCGCCAACUGCUCCGUGACCGCUGGGCGUGUGUGCGGGGACAUGGGAGCAACUUCACAGUGGUGGGAAGUUUCUCUCCUAAAACGAAAGCUUCUCUAUACUACAGAUUGGCCCCAUUAAAUAAAAGAAAAU
rnacentral:lncRNA from 1 species